rnacentral:rRNA from 1 species
UACGUAGGGUGCAGGCGUUAAUCGGAAUUACUGGGCGUAAAGCGUGCGCAGGCGGUUUGUUAAGACAGGUGUGAAAUCCCCGGGCUUAACCUGGGAACUGCGCUUGUUACUGGCAGACUUGAGUGUGGCAGAGGGGGGUGGAAUUCCAGGUGUAGCAGUGAAAUGCGUAGAGAUCUGGAGGAACACCGAUGGCGAAGGCAGCCCCCUAGGAUAACACUGACGCUCAUGCACGAAAGCGUGGGGAGCAAACAGG